GGACUGCCCAAAUGUUUCAAAAAUUGCUUGCACAUAUACUUCAAUCUUGCAGGAAUUUUUGCAGCAUUCAAGCUUACCAAUUUGGAACAGAUUUAAAAAUCCAGGAUUUUGGCGUCAGUUAACUGUCAGAGAAGGAAGAUCGGUUGGGAAGGUUGCAGACAAAAAUUUUGAGGCCGAUAUUUCAGAGGUCAUGCUCAUUGUUCAGAUUUGUUCAGUUGGGAUUGACAAUGCACAAGUAACCAAUGAGUUUGAGAGACUUGCUCAAGCAUUUGCAGCAGGUGCUGCCACAAAUUCUCCUCCUCUGCCUCUUAACAAUUUUUGUUGUUCAGGUACUUGUUCUGUCAUUAUUCUUUUCUCCACCCUUGCAAAAUUGCAGUUUCUU